CCCUUAGAUGUCCUGGGCCGCACGCGUGCUACACUGAUGCAUACAGCGAGUACUUUCCAGCUCCGCGAGGCAGCUGGUAAUCAGCAAUAUGCAUCGUGCUGGGGAUAGAUCUUUGGAAUUAUAGAUCUUGAACGAGGAAUUCCUAGUAAGCGCAAGUCAUUAGCUUGCGCUGAUUAAGUCCCUGCCCUUUGUACACACCGCCCGUCGCUCCUACCGAUUUCGAGUGAUUCGGUGAACCUUUUGGACAGCGUCUGUCCUCGUGUCAGAUGCUGAAAGUCAAGUAAACCAUAUCACUUAGAGGAAGGAAAAGUCGUAACA
rnacentral:rRNA from 1 species